CCUACGGGGCGCAGCAGUGAGGAAUAUUGGUCAAUGGACGAGAGUCUGAACCAGCCAAGUAGCGUGAAGGAUGACUGCCCUAUGGGUUGUAAACUUCUUUUAUAUGGGAAUAAAAUGUUCCACGUGUGGGAUUUUGUAUGUACCAUAUGAAUAAGGAUCGGCUAACUCCGUGCCAGCAGCCGCGGUAAUACGGAGGAUCCGAGCGUUAUCCGGAUUUAUUGGGUUUAAAGGGAGCGUAGGUGGAUUGUUAAGUCAGUUGUGAAAGUUUGCGGCUCAACCGUAAAAUUGCAGUUGAAACUGGCAGUCUUGAGUACAGUAGAGGUGGGCGGAAUUCGUGGUGUAGCGGUGAAAUGCUUAUAUAUCACGAAGAACUCCGAUUGCGAAGGCAGUUCACUGGACUGCAACUGACACUGAGGCUCGAAAGUGUGGGUAUCAAACAGGAUUAGAUACCCUUGUAGUC
rnacentral:rRNA from 1 species